GUCGAGAAUCUUUCACAAUGGGGGCAACCCUGAUGGAGCGACGCCGCGUGGAGGAUAAGGUCUUCGGAUUGUAAACUCCUGUCAUGCGUGAACAAGGUUGCUUGGUUAAUACCUGGGCAAAUUGAUGGUAACGCAAGAGGAAGAGACGGCUAACUCUGUGCCAGCAGCCGCGGUAAUACAGAGGUCUCAAGCGUUGUUCGGAAUCACUGGGCGUAAAGGGUGCGUAGGUGGCGUGGUAAGUCAGAUGUGAAAGCCCGGGGCUCAACCUCGGAACUGCGUCCGAUACUGCCAUGCUAGAGUACUGGAGAGGUGACUAGAAUUCUCGGUGUAGCAGUGAAAUGCGUAGAUAUCGAGAGGAAUACCAAAGGCGUAGGCAGGUCACUGGACAGUUACUGACACUGAGGCACGAAGGCCAGGGGAGCGAACGGGAUUAGAUACCCUGGUAGUCC
rnacentral:rRNA from 1 species